rnacentral:lncRNA from 1 species
AGUCCUUCCCCUCAGCUGCAGUGCUUCACUCCGCAAAACAAGAAACAGCAACAUGGGACUUUUCUAGUACAUUCCUUGGGAAACUUGGUAUGUCCUGCUUGAAAGAAAAGCCCAAAUAAGACUGCCAAGAUCAUCCAGAGGUUUCCUGCCAAGUGGGAAAAAUAAGCCUUUAUUUGUUUGUCA